UAAUACGGAGGGUCCAAGCGUUAUCCGGAUUUAUUGGGUUUAAAGGGUGUGUAGGCGGAAAUAUAAGUCAGCGGUGAAAUCCUGCAGCUUAACUGCAGAACUGCCGCUGAUACUGUGUUUCUUGAGUAUAGUUGAAGUGGGCGGAAUGUGUCAUGUAGCGGUGAAAUGCAUAGAUAUGACACAGAACACCGAUUGCGAAGGCAGCUCACUAAACUAUUACUGACGCUGAGGCACGAAAGCGUGGGUAGCGAACAGGAUUAGAUACCCUGGUAGUCCACGCCGUAAACGAUGAUUACUCGAUGUUGGCGAUACACUGUCAGCGUCCAAGCGAAAGUGUUAAGUAAUCCACCUGGGGAGUACGGUCGCAAGAUUG
rnacentral:rRNA from 1 species